GAUUGGGGAAUUUUCCGCAAUGGGCGAAAGCCUGACGGAGCAACGCCGCGUGAGGGAUGAAGGCCUCUGGGCUGUGAACCUCUUUUAUCAAGGAAGAAGAUCUGACGGUACUUGAUGAAUAAGCCACGGCUAAUUCCGUGCCAGCAGCCGCGGUAAUACGGGAGCGGCAAGCGUUAUCCGGAAUUAUUGGGCGUAAAGCGUCCGCAGGCGGCCCUUCAAGUCUGCUGUUAAAAAGUGGAGCUUAACCCCAUCGUGGCAGUGGAAACUGUUGGGCUUGUGUGUGGUAGGGGCAGAGGGAAUUCCCGGUGUAGCGGUGAAAUGCGUAGAUAUCGGGAAGAACACCAGUGGCGAAGGCGCUCUGCUGGGCCAUCACUGACGCUCAUGGACGAAAGCCAGGGGAGCGAAAGGGAUUAGAUACCCCUGUAGUCAAU
rnacentral:rRNA from 1 species